UGGGGCGUGGUGCAAUUGGCAGCACACCGGAUUCUGACUCCGUAGGUUCCAGGUUCGAGUCCUGGCGCCCCAACCA
rnacentral:tRNA from 1 species